GAGACCCACGCCAACAGUUGCCAGCAUGUCCUCCGGGAUGGUGGGGACACUGUUGGGACCGCCUCUGCUAAAGAGGAGGAAGGAAUGGGCAACGGUAGGUCAGCAUGCCCCGAAUUAUCCGGGCUACACGCGGGCUACAAUGGUCAGGACAAUGGAUAUCGACACCGAGAGGUGAAGGCAAUCUCUUAAACCUGUCCUUAGUUCGGAUUGUGGGCUGCAACUCGCCCACAUGAAGCUGGAAUCCGUAGUAAUCGCGUCUCAAAAUGGCGCGGUGAAUAU
rnacentral:rRNA from 1 species